rnacentral:rRNA from 1 species
AUGGUUCAUACCAAGCUCAGUGGGGAGAGCUGGAUCAAGGCGGUGCCCAGACAACACUCGGUGGCCCAGCUAGGGGAAUUUGUUGGUCUCUCGGAAUGGAUCAGUCAAACCCAACUCUUGCCAAACCAGGAGGACUCCAUCUCCUGGAACUUGACGGCCAAUGGGGUCUACUCUUCCGCUUCGGCGUAUGCGGUUCAAUUUCUUGGAUCCCACCCUAGGUUUGACUCCAAGAUUUGGACCGCGCAUUCGGAGCUCAAAUGCAAAUUCUUCGCAUUGCUCAUUCUCCAUGGCAGAAUUCUUACGGCUGAUAGGCUGACAACUCGGGGAUGGCCCCAUGACCCCAUGUGUCAAGUGCCUCCAGGCUCUGGAGACAGCCACUCACCUGUGCAAAGGCUACCCUUUUUCCGUUGCUGUUUGGAGCCAUGUGAGCACCUGAGGUGA